rnacentral:rRNA from 1 species
GGAUAACUACUGGAAACGGUAGCUAAUACCUCAUACUCCUUUUAUGGUAAGCAUAAAAGGGAAAUGUUUUUUCGCUGAAGGAUGAGACUAUAUGAUAUCAGGUAGUUGGUGGGGUAAGAGCCUACCAAGCCAAUGACAUCUAACUGGUCUGAGAGGAUGAUCAGUCACACUGGAACUGAGACACGGUCCAGACUCCUACGGGAGGCAGCAGUGGGGAAUAUUGCACAAUGGGGGGAACCCUGAUGCAGCAACGCCGCGUGGAGGAUGACACAUUUCGGUGCGUAAACUCCUUUUAUAUGGGAAGAUAAUGACGGUACCAUAUGAAUAAGCACCGGCUAACUCCGUGCCAGCAGCCGCGGUAAUACGGAGGGUGCAAGCGUUACUCGGAAUCACUGGGCGUAAAGCGCGCGCAGGCGGGUUUGUAAGUUGGAAGUGAAAUCCUAUGGCUUAACCAUAGAACUGCUUCCAAAACUACUUACCUAGAGUGUGGGAGGGGAAGAUGGAAUUAGUUGUGUAGGGGGUAAAGUCCGUAGAGAUAACUAGGAAUACCAAAAGCGAAGGCGAUCUUCUGGAACACUACUGACGCUGAGGCGCGAAAGCAUGGGGAGCAAACAGGAUUAGAUACCCUGGUAGUCCAUGCCCUAAACGAUGAAUGUUAGUCGUCGGUAUGCUCGUCAUAUCGGUGAUGCACUUAACAGAUUAAACAUUCCGCCUGGGGAGUACGGUCGCAAGAUUAAAACUCAAAGGAAUAGACGGGGACCCGCACAAGUGGUGGAGCAUGUGGUUUAAUUCGAAGAUACGCGAAGAACCUUACCUAGCCUUGACAUUGAUUGAACAUUUUAGAGAUAAGAUGGUGCCCUUUUGGGAACAUGAAAACAGGUGCUGCACGGCUGUCGUCAGCUCGUGUCGUGAGAAUGUUGGGGUUAAGUCCCGCAACGAACGCAACCUUCGUCACUAGUUACUAACGGUUUGGCCCAGGAACCUAAUUGAAACUGCUUCCCAAGGAGGAAAGGGAAGUGAAGGAACAACUUCAAGCCUCCUGGGCCCUUACGGCUAAGGGUACCCCCUGGUUUCAAGGGUUUGAGACAUUGAGAGGGAAUCCCGCGAGGGGGACCAAACCUUAAACCCAUUCUCCCUUCCGGAAAACCCCUCCCCACCCCCUCGUUUGAGCGGAGACCUCUAAAAUCCGAAA